rnacentral:rRNA from 1 species
ACAAGCGGUGGAGCAUAGUUGGUUUAAUUCGAAGCAACGACGAAGAACCUUACAGGUCUUGACAUCCGAUGUCUAUUUCUAGAGAUAGAAAGUUACUUCGGUACAUCGGUGACAGGUGGUGCAUGGUUGUCGUCAGCUCGUGUCGUGAGAUGUUGGGUUAAGUCCCGCAACGAGCGCAACCCCUAUUGUUAGUUGCCAUCAUUCAGUUGGGCACUCUAGCGAGACUGCCGGUAAUAAACCGGAGGAAGGUGGGGAUGACGUCAAAUCAUCAUGCCCCUUAUGACCUGGGCUACACACGUGCUACAAUGGUUGGUACAACGAGUUGCGAGUCGGUGACGGCGAGCUAAUCUCUUAAAGCCAAUCUCAGUUCGGAUUGUAGGCUGCAACUCGCCUACAUGAAGUCGGAAUCGCUAGUAAUCGCGGAUCAGCACGCCGCGGUGAAUACGUUCCCGGGCCUU